ACCGGAAGUGACACAACGAUUAGCCUAAUAGGGCUUUUGGAGAGUGAUGUCAGGAGAGGGGGCGUGGCCAGGAUUUUUGGUUGAGGCGCCAUGUUUCUGGACCGAACAAAGCGCUAGCGAAAAAGGAGCGAAAGUACACGGAUAACACCAGCUAUGUCUUUCCCCACCUGGAAGCAACAUGAGGCAGCUCAUGCAUCGGAUGUUACCAAAAGAAGGCUUCUAGUCUGGAUAGCAGCUGUGAGACGAGCUGAUAUCCAGUUUUCUUCCAUCUCCAAAUAUCUGUUGGUGUGCUCCAGACAUUUUCAUUCCGGCAAACCAGCCAAUGAAAUGGAUGAAACAUCGUGACUGGGUUCCAGCUACACAAGGGACCUGCUUCAAACAUACCACCAUGCCAAUCAGAUUACUUCUUCCAUGUGAGGGUGAAGAGGUGACCCUUCUGGAUAAGACGGUGAAGGUUUGCUGCCGUUUUGGUGAAGUGUGGUAGUAAAACCAGGGAAAAAUGAAACUUGCUCCUGUUAAAUAUUCUUAAGUCUUGUGCAGUAUAGAUAGCGGUAAUUUUUCAGAAGAUAAAUUGAAGUAAUUGAUAGUAAAUUAAGUAGUGUUAGUAGUGGGUGAUAUCGUGUAAAUGCUGUCAUGAUUUUGUGUAAACAU